CAGGUAUUCUGUAUUGCUUUCAUCUAUUUAUUCUCCUUCAGAUCGACGUUUCUAAUUAUAUCUGAGUCGGCACACAU